UUGAGCCGUAUGAGGUAGAAAACUCUCAAGUACAGUUCUGAGGGAAGAAAUUUUUUCCAAGUUGACCUAUCCUGAC
rfam:Picea glauca, whole genome shotgun sequence.